GCUUCUUCCGCGAGUGCGCUAAAUGGGACGACGCUGGCCGGAGGUUCCUCGUCUCCUUCAUGGACGGAGGCGGAAUCGGCGAGGUCGUUCCUUCCGACGACGGUGACAUCGACGCCCUUCGGGAAGUCACUUUGGUCAAAGACGCUGACCUCGCCGGAAACGCUUCCCUAGGAAUCGUUAUCGACCGCGACAGGAACCGCCUCCUCGUCGCGAGAGCCCUCUCUUCACUCCACGUGGAUGGUACAAUAACCUCGUCGCUCUUAACGGCAUUGUUUAUCAUCCGGAUGGUUUCCUUAUCGUCAUCCACACUUUCUCCGGUCUCUUAUACAAAAUCGACCUAACUGACGAUAAGGUCACUGUGGUUGAAGUUACUGGUGGCACGUUGAGGUUUGGUGAUGGGCUUGAGUUGUUGUCUCGCACUAAGAUUGUUGUUGCAGGUAAGUCUUUAGUGUUCUCAUUUUUAUGUCUACCAAUGAAUAUAAGACAACUAUAUUAAAAAAAAAAAAAUUAUUUGCGAGUGUUUUUAGGCAGUCCUUCUGCUAAAUUGGUGGAGAGCUCGGACGGGUGGCGGACAGCUACUGUGACAGGUUGGUUCAGUACCGGUAUGGUUCACCGGAUAGUCUCGUCUGCUACUGUGAAGGAAGGAAGAGUUUAUCUAAACCAUAUUGUUGGGUUUGGCUCUAAGAAGAGACACUUACUUGUAGAAGCUGUGUUUUAGACUGUUUAGUGUUAAUCUCUUGUUAAGUUAUGUGUGCUAAUGAUCUCUUUAAUGAUUCUAUUGAAAUGAUGUAAAGCCUCUCUUUAUCAAAUUUCAUUUAAUCUCUAGUAUACAAUCAUUAACAUCUUUCGCAUUACAAAUAACCAAAAAAAAAAUGCAUACCAUUAGUGACUUUAUAACCAAUGGUUACUUUACACUUUAGUGUCACCUUCGUCGUCAUAAUGAACAGGAGAAGCAGUAGAAACUCCACGUGGACUUCUUCUACUUCCUUGUUCGAAAAGCAACACCAUUCCAAACCAUAAACACCCUUUAACGAUCCUAACCAUACCGAUCGUUACAACCAUAUAGUAUAACCACCAAUUCACAAAAUCAACCGUUCCCACUUCAAAACUACCGUUAGCAUUAUUACCAUUGAUUGGUAAUAAUAACAACAAAGCUCUUUUAGCCUCAGCCACACCAACCAAAGCCUCUACUUCAUCUCGAAGCUUCCACCACCACAACGUCCCACAGCUCACGGCCAAAGCCACUCUCUCCACCACCGUCUCCUCUCUCCGGUGAUGACCAGCGUCUCCUCCCAUCAACGUGCUGUCCACCACCGGUCUCACGAUCACCCUACACCACAGAAGCAUUACCUCAUGAAGACCAAAGAAAAACACUAGCCUGCUCAAGAAGUUACGUUCGCUCCCGAUUAUUAAACCGUCGGGGUACGUUCCUUCGAGGCCUAAACCGACGGAGAUUUGAACAAGGAAAAGCGUCAAAAUAAAAUAAAAAAAGGCUUAAGAUGUUUUUCUCUCUUUAGUAGUAUAAAUGGCCAAACAAUGGCAUCUAAUAUCACCAAAUAAGCUUCAAUGCAAGCAAAUCCUAACAUUCCUAGAAAGUCUCUUGCAUUAAAUUGGCAAAGAAAAGUACAACAGAGAUUGUAUAAUUAUUAGUAUUGAAUUCUAGAUACACCUCUCUGGCCCAUUAUUCAUUUAACGGGCCACCAAAUAGCUGGCCCCACUUUACUAAUUGUCCUAAAAGUCGAACCGAACGUGUUCGCUCGCUCACCAACUUUAUGUUCCACACAUUACAUAAAGUCUCUCGGUCUUUGUCGUACUCGUACCCAAUCUCCAACGUUCUCUCUCGUUUAUUUUUCAAAAAAAUGUCGCCGUCCUUUUGCUCCGGCCGUUUCUCCGUCGCUCUCUUCCUCGUUAUCUCCGCCGUUCCCAUCUCUUACCUCGUUUCCCUCGAGCGAGCCGUUCCUUCCACGCACGUGUUCUCUUACCACAGUUCCGGCUUCUUCCGCGAGUGCGCUAAAUGGGACGACGCUGGCCGGAGGUUCCUCGUCUCCUUCAUGGACGGAGGCGGAAUCGGCGAGGUCGUUCCUUCCGACGACGGGGAAGUCACUUUGGUCAAAGACGCUGACCUCGCCGGAAACGCUUCACUCGGAAUCGUUAUCGACCGCGACAGGAACCGUCUCCUCGUCGCCGUCGCCGAUUUGCUUGGGAACCGCUAUAGCGCUUUAGCUGCCUAUGAUAUGUCCACGUGGCGCCGCGUCUUCCUCGCU
rnacentral:lncRNA from 1 species